UGAGUAUGGCUUUGGGUAAGACCUGUGUAUAUGGCUUUGGGUAAGGUCUGUGUGUGGCUUUGGGUAAUGCCUGUAUAUGGCUUUGGGUAAGGCCUGUAUAUGGCUUUGGGUAAUGCCUGUAUAUGGCUUUGGGUAAGGCCUGUAUAUGGCUUUGGAUAAGGCCUGUGUAUAUGGCUUUGAGUAAGUCUUAUAUACGGCUUUGAGUAAGGCCUGUGUAUAUGGCUUUGAGUAAGUCUUAUAUACGGCUUUGGGUAAGGCCUGUGUAUAUGGCUUUGAGUAAGUCUUAUAUACGGCUUUGGGUAAGGCCUGUGUAUAUGGCUUUGGGUAAGGCCUGUGUAUAUGGCUUUGGGUAAGGCCUGUGUAUGGCUUUGGGUAAGGCAUGUGUAUGGCUUUGGGUAAGGCCUGUGUAUGGCUUUGGGUAAGGCCUGUGUAUAUGGCUUUGGGUAAGGCCUGUGUAUGGCUUUGGGUAAGGCAUGUGUAUGGCUUUGGGUAAGGCCUGUGUAUAUGGCUUUGGGUAAGGCCUGUGUAUGGCUUUGGGUAAGGCCUGUGUAUGGCUUUGGGUAAGGCCUGUGUAUGGCUUUGGGUAAGGCCUGUGUAUGGCUUUGGGUAAGGCCUGUGUAUGGCUUUGGGUAAGGCCUGUGUAUGGCUUUGGGUAAGGCCUGUGUAUGGCUUUGGGUAAUGCCUGUGUAUGGCUUUGGGUAAGGCCUGUGUAUAUGGCUUUGGGUAAGGCCUGUGUAUAUGGCUUUGGGUAAGGCCUGUGUAUAUGGCUUUGGGUAAGGCCUGUAUAUGGCUUUGGAUAAGGCCUGUGUAUAUGGCUUUGAGUAAGUCUUAUAUACGGCUUUGGGUAAGGCCUGUGUAUAUGGCUUUGGGUAAGGCCUGUAUAUGGCUUUGGGUAAGGCCUGUGUAUAUGGCUUUGAGUAAGUCUUAUAUAUGGCUUUGGGUAAGGCCUGUAUAUGGCUUUGGGUAAGGCCUGUAUAUGGCUUUGGGUAAGGCCUGUAUAUGGCUUUGGGUAAGGCCUGUAUAUGGCUUUGGGUAAGGCCUGUAUAUGGCUUUGGGUAAGGCCUGUGUAUGGCUUUGGGGCCUGUUAUGGCUUUGGGUAAGGCCUGUGUAUGGCUUUGGGUAAUGCCUGUAUAUGGCUUUGGGUAAGGCCUGUAUAUGGCUUUGGGUAAUGCCUGUAUAUGGCUUUGGGUAAGGCCUGUAUAUGGCUUUGGAUAAGGCCUGUGUAUAUGGCUUUGAGUAAGUCUUAUAUACGGCUUUGAGUAAGGCCUGUGUAUAUGGCUUUGAGUAAGGCCUGUGUAUAUGGCUUUGGGUAAGGCCUGUGUAUAUGGCUUUGGAUAAGGCCUGUGUAUAUGGCUUUGAGUAAGUCUUAUAUACGGCUUUGAGUAAGGCCUGUGUAUAUGGCUUUGGGUAAGGCCUGUAUAUGGAUUUGGGUAUGGCCUGUGUAUACGGCUUUGAGUAAGGCCUGUGUAUAUGGCUUUGGGUAUGGCCUGUGUAUACGGC
ensembl:lncRNA